rnacentral:lncRNA from 1 species
CAGGGGCCUGCAAAAAGCGUGUUAAAAUUUAGAAUGAAUUGGCAGAGAUGCUUCUUAUAUUUAGACUGUGACAUCAUAAACUGCCCGAUUGACAAACCAUGGUUGGUCCAAGUAUUGAACUACACGCAACGAGUCAUUAUUUAUAUUCCGGGUACGGGUUAGGUAUUUAAGUUAUGGGCCUUGUCAGGUUUUGUUUCAAUUUCCCAUAAAUUGAUUUCUUCUUUCAGUGUCUAUACUUAUAUGGAUUUUUCUCAUUAAUUGAACUGAUUAAACCCAUGCUUUGGCGCCCCAUCGAGAAAUGAGAUUUUAUAAUAGACAAUGUAUAAUUAAAAAGUAUGUAAAAAAAUAUUUUAUUAAAAAUAUAUAUGAUCGAAAAUGAGAUUUUAGAAAAUAGAGUUCAAAUCGAGACUAAGAUGUUUGAGUGGGCCUUGUUCAAUGACGUGCAAGCAUAUAUAUCACUUGUAUGAAAGAGCUAAAAAAUUGCUUUUUGAUAAAAAUGUUAGUUCAUAAUGUGAAGCAAGUUGUGAAAAAUUAGAUAGUUCAUAUAUGAUGUAUAGAUAAACAUGAUAAUGUCUCUCAUUCUUAAGCCUAUAAAUUGUAUAAAGACGAACGUGCUAAACAUAACUUAGGUUACGUAAAUGACAAACUCUUGCUACACAUCUCUUUUUAAGUUUUUACAUUAUGACGUCACAUUUAUGCUACCAACCAUGUUACAUGUACAAUCGAGAUUGACAAUCUCGACUGACAAUUACACACACGGGAAAGGGCUCACGAUGAAUAAAAAAAAAUCGUGGACUCUCCUGUGAGGAGGUUGUCGUCAACCCUCAUUGUACAACUAGCAAAAUUCUUUAUACUACACACCUAUCAAUUGUGACUUCCACCUUUUUAUAGAGAAUAGCUUCUAAACUUAGAAAAUUUUACUAUUCGUACAUCAAAAUGUUAUAUAAGCAGUUAUCGAAAAAUAAUGUGGAGUGAAGAUUUGAUGAAAAGUUGAUUGUAUUUUAAAUUGGUAAAUGAUGG